ensembl:misc_RNA 7SK 7SK RNA
GGAUCUGAGGCCGAUAUGGCUGUCACAUAUGUCACUCAUUAAUCACCAGGGUGGAUUCAUCUGAUCAGGCUAGCUAAGCAGGUGUCUCCUUCCUCCCUUACCCCUCCAUGUGCAUCUAUCCAAAAGCUGCAUGCCCCAUGGAAACAGAAGACCCAUCCCCAAAAGAGGAAGACCAUUCUUCAUCACAGGUGUACAAGUAUCUGCAAUCCCCUGCUAAAACCUCCAGACAAGCUCUCAAAUCUUUAGCUAAUUGUUUUUGUAUUUACAUCCAUAUCUGCAAUUAACUUACACUAUUGCUACUUCU